UCCUACGGGCGGCUGCAGUCGAGAAUCUUCCGCAAUGGGCGAAAGCCUGACGGAGCGACGCCGCGUGGUUGAUGAAGUCCUUCGGGACGUAAAAACCUUUUAUGGGCAAGAAAGUCAUUGAUCAGUCCAUGAAUAAGAGGCUCCUAACUCUGUGCCAGCAGGAGCGGUAAUACAGAGGCCUCAAGCGUUACCCGGAAUCACUGGGCGUAAAGGGUGUGCAGGCGGCAUUGUUAGUCUCGCGUAAAAGCUCCAGGGCGCAACCCAGGAAAUGCGCGAGAAACGGCAGUGCUUUGAGGGUGGCAGAGGCGUGCGGAACUCAUGGUGUAGGGGUGAAAUCCGUUGAUAUCAUGGGGAACACCAAAUGCGAAGGCAGCACGCUGGGCCAUUCCUGACGCUCAUACACGAAAGCGUAGGUAGCGAACGGGAUUAGAUACCCUGUAGUC
rnacentral:rRNA from 1 species